CUUCAAAUAAAUUAAAUUAUUAAUAGUUAAUAAAUCCUUUUAUCAGUGUAAUAAUUGCAGUUUUGUUUUUUAGUUAAACGAAUCAACAACAAGAAUAAUAGCCUCCCGUAACUCCGAAAGUAACCACUGCGAACGCUUCAGUCGAUUUCAUUUCCCCUACCAUGGCUUCACUCAGAGCGAAUAA
rnacentral:lncRNA from 1 species